GCAGCCGCGGUAAUACGGGGGAUGCAAGCGUUAUCCGGAUUUAUUGGGUUUAAAGGGUGCGUAGGCGGCAUUGUAAGUCAGCGGUGAAAUUUCGGAGCUCAACUUCGAACGUGCCGUUGAUACUGCAGUGCUAGAAUGCGGAUGCCGUGGGAGGAAUGUGUGGUGUAGCGGUGAAAUGCAUAGAUAUCACACAGAACACCGAUUGCGAAGGCAUCUCACGAAUCCGCUAUUGACGCUGAGGCACGAAAGCGUGGGGAUCAAACAGGAUUAGAUACCCC
rnacentral:rRNA from 1 species